UUAAUACUCCCUCCGUCCCAAAAUACUUAUCUUAGAUUUGUCUAAAUAUGGAUGUAUCAAGUCAUGUUUUAGUAUUAAAUACAUCCAUAUCUAGACAAAUCUAAAACAAGAAUUUUAGGACGGAGGGAGUACCAG
rfam:Triticum aestivum genome assembly, contig: Triticum_aestivum_CS42_TGACv1_scaffold_501681_6BL